AGGAUAGGACUGAAAAGGAGUAUCUCCUGUUCGGAAACCUUCAGUGGCAGUAGAAGUGAAAUUUAAGCCUCUAGAUCUUCUAGCAAUGAAGGAAGAUCUGUUUACUGUCCAGCACCACAACCAAAAUUUCACCAACAGAAAGCCAAAUCAAGGUCUAGAGAAAGAUUAAGAUCUCUUGAUAGGUCAGGGUCUCUUCUUUUCCCAAAGACUACGAAGGAGGCUGCCAUUACCCACUGGCUGGUGUAUAAGAAUAGAGGCUAUCGAAAAAAUCAAGAGGGUCACAGUUUUAGUGCACGUGUUUAGUGAUAGUUAUUUUUAGCAACACUAAACUUUUAAUGGACACAAUUUCUAAAAAAAACUAUGAGUUGAUUAUUGCAAUUUGGCAUGGCAAAAUGUGUAUGGGUGAAGUGAGCACUGAUAAAAUAUAUUGAUCAGAAGUUUAUUAAUUUUAUAUAGAUAUUGAUGAUCGAUUCAGCUAUUGUUAUAUAUCAAACUUUGUAUCUUAUUUAUAGCCAAUGAACCAGUAAUAUUGUGGACACAAUAUCUUAAAAACUAGAAAGAUUUAAUUGUUAUUUGGUAUGGUGAAAUGUGUAUAGGUGAAGUGAAUGAUGAUACAAUUUGGUGAUCAGAAGUUAAAUCUUUUUGAAGAUAUCGAUAAAUGAAUCCACUAUGAUAUCAUAAUAUAACUUAGUUUCUUAUUUUGGGUAGGAGUCAUUCACAUCAGUUCAGUUACAAUGUUAUCAUCUACUAGGCUACAUGAGACAGGGUCUGAUUCCCUGUUUGGUGAUAAAUAUAGAGUCCAUGUGUAUUCAUUACUGUUGAUCUUAGAUUAUAGCACAUGUACCUUUAAAGCAUGUGUAAUUGUUUAUAAACCUCAAGUCUAAUAAAAAUGUGUUUUAUGUAUAAUUGUAUGAUGAAAAGUGUGAUUGACAAAUAAAUGAAUGAUUGAUUUGAAUAUUGUAACUCUACCUUUAUAAGAAAAGUGUAAACGUGUGUUUGAAUGAUCGUAUUGUAUAAAGCGUAAAAUUAACUAUUUAUUGAAUUUUUUAUUUAAUUGGUUUGACUAAAUGAAUGCACAUUCAAUUUGUUAAAGUGCAGUAGAAUAUAUUACAUUUGAGUGAUGUGUCACAUGGGGUUAAAUUUUAUCCUUUAUCUGUGAUGCUAGUUGAACAAGUUGCCAGAGUCCAGGGCAAGUAGAAAUUGCAUAGGGUUAGCGGAAACAGGUAUUUUUAUAAUGUGUUUUAAUUUGAUAAUGUUUAUAAAAUUAAGAAACAUGUUUCUACAUGAGUUUACAAUUCUGUCCUAUGCUGAUAGAUGAUUUAUUGUUAACAAUUCUCAUUAUAGGUUCAUAUUCAUUAUUAAUUUGUGAGAAUGCAGAUAUUUUGAAAGAAUGGUUCUUUUUAAAAUAUUCAUGUGUAAAAAUGUUAUGUGUGAUAUUUGAAUUAAAUUUAAUGAAACC